GGGUUGUGAGGUUAAGCGACUAAGCGUACACGGUGGAUGCCCUGGCAGUCAGAGGCGAUGAAGGGCGUGCUAAUCUGCGAUAAGCGCCGGUAAGGUGAUAUGAACCGUUAUAACCGGCGAUACCCGAAUGGGGAAACCCAGUGUGACUCGUCACACUAUCAUUAACUGAAUCCAUAGGUUAAUGAGGCGAACCGGGGGAACUGAAACAUCUAAGUACCCCGAGGAAAAGAAAUCAACCGAGAUUCCCCCAGUAGCGGCGAGCGAACGGGGAGGAGCCCAGAGCCUGAAUCAGCAUGUGUGUUAGUGGAAGCGUCUGGAAAGGCGCGCGAUACAGGGUGACAGCCCCGUACACAAAAGCGCAUGUGUUGUGAGCUCGAUGAGUAGGGCGGGACACGUGGUAUCCUGUCUGAAUAUGGGGGGACCAUCCUCCAAGGCUAAAUACUCCUGACUGACCGAUAGUGAACCAGUACCGUGAGGGAAAGGCGAAAAGAACCCCGGCGAGGGGAGUGAAAAAGAACCUGAAACCGUGUACGUACAAGCAGUGGGAGC
rnacentral:rRNA from 5 species